AGGAAAGUCGAUCCUCGCGUCGAGCCCGUCGUUUUGAGACCUGGAUGAGGAGCCUAAGGAGCAUGAAUCUGAUGAGGAGGUCCCUGAUGAGGAACCCGAAGAGGAGUACGUGGAGGAGGACCUCGAGUACGACCAGGAUGAGGACCGAAAUCCUAUCAUGUCUUGUCAGACCUUGUUUGCAUGUAAAAAGUUGUAGUUGUGAAUUUUCAGUGAGAAAAUGUAUGGCCUGCUUUUCUAUC